rnacentral:piRNA from 1 species
UGGUAAUAAGACAUUUAUUAGGAAGCUUCGA